rnacentral:rRNA from 1 species
GGACUACCAGGGUAUCUAAUCCUGUUUGCUCCCCACGCUUUCGCGUCUCAGCGUCAGUUGCGUUCCAGAGAGCCGCCUUCGCCACGGGUGUUCUUCCUGAUAUCUGCGCAUUCCACCGCUACACCAGGAAUUCCACUCUCCUCUCCCGCACUCUAGCCAUCCAGUUUCCCACGACCGCUCGGGGUUGAGCCCCGAGAUUUCACGCAGGACUUAAAUGGCCGCCUACACGCUCUUUACGCCCAAUGAAUCCGGACAACGCUUGGUCCCUACGUAUUACCGCGGCUGCUGGCAC